rnacentral:rRNA from 1 species
GAUGAACGCUGGCGGCGUGCCUAAUACAUGCAAGUCGAGCGAACGGACGAGAAGCUUGCUUCUCUGAUGUUAGCGGCGGACGGGUGAGUAACACGUGGAUAACCUACCUAUAAGACUGGGAUAACUUCGGGAAACCGGAGCUAAUACCGGAUAAUAUUUUGAACCGCAUGGUUCAAAAGUGAAAGACGGUCUUGCUGUCACUUAUAGAUGGAUCCGCGCUGCAUUAGCUAGUUGGUAAGGUAACGGCUUACCAAGGCAACGAUGCAUAGCCGACCUGAGAGGGUGAUCGGCCACACUGGAACUGAGACACGGUCCAGACUCCUACGGGAGGCAGCAGUAGGGAAUCUUCCGCAAUGGGCGAAAGCCUGACGGAGCAACGCCGCGUGAGUGAUGAAGGUCUUCGGAUCGUAAAACUCUGUUAUUAGGGAAGAACAUAUGUGUAAGUAACUGUGCACAUCUUGACGGUACCUAAUCAGAAAGCCACGGCUAACCACGUGCCAGCAGCCGCGGUAAUACGUAGGUGGCAAGCGUUAUCCGGAAUUAUUGGGCGUAAAGCGCGCGUAGGCGGUUUUUUAAGUCUGAUGUGAAAGCCCACGGCUCAACCGUGGAGGGUCAUUGGAAACUGGAAAACUUGAGUGCAGAAGAGGAAAGUGGAGUUCCAUGUGUAGCGGUGAAAUGCGCAGAGAUAUGGAGGAACACCAGUGGCGAAGGCGACUUUCUGGUCUGUAACUGACGCUGAUGUGCGAAAGCGUGGGGAUCAAACAGGAUUAGAUACCCUGGUAGUCCACGCCGUAAACGAUGAGUGCUAAGUGUUAGGGGGUUUCCGCCCCUUAGUGCUGCAGCUAACGCAUUAAGCACUCCGCCUGGGGAGUACGACCGCAAGGUUGAAACUCAAAGGAAUUGACGGGGACCCGCACAAGCGGUGGAGCAUGUGGUUUAAUUCGAAGCAACGCGAAGAACCUUACCAAAUCUUGACAUCCUUUGACAACUCUAGAGAUAGAGCCUUCCCCUUCGGGGGACAAAGUGACAGGUGGUGCAUGGUUGUCGUCAGCUCGUGUCGUGAGAUGUUGGGUUAAGUCCCGCAACGAGCGCAACCCUUAAGCUUAGUUGCCAUCAUUAAGUUGGGCACUCUAAGUUGACUGCCGGUGACAAACCGGAGGAAGGUGGGGAUGACGUCAAAUCAUCAUGCCCCUUAUGAUUUGGGCUACACACGUGCUACAAUGGACAAUACAAAGGGCAGCGAAACCGCGAGGUCAAGCAAAUCCCAUAAAGUUGUUCUCAGUUCGGAUUGUAGUCUGCAACUCGACUACAUGAAGCUGGAAUCGCUAGUAAUCGUAGAUCAGCAUGCUACGGUGAAUACGUUCCCGGGUCU